CCGGGACUUAGUGCCGACGCUAACGCACUAAGCACUCCGCCUGGGGAGUACGACCGCAAGGUUGAAACUCAAAGGAAUUGACGGGGGCCCGCACAAGCGGUGGAGCAUGUGGUUUAAUUCGAAGCAACGCGAAGAACCUUACCAGGUCUUGACAUCCCGAUGCCCGCUCUAGAGAUAGAGUUUUUCUUCGGAACAUCGGAGACAGGUGGUGCAUGGUUGUCGUCAGCUCGUGUCGUGAGAUGUUGGGUUAAGUCCCGCAACGAGCGCAACCCUUAUUGUUAGUUGCCAUCAUUAAGUUGGGCACUCUAGCGAGACUGCCGGUAAUAAACCGGAGGAAGGUGGGGAUGACGUCAAAUCAUCAUGCCCCUUAUGACCUGGGCUACACACGUGCUACAAUGGUUGGUACAACGAGUCGCAAGCCGGUGACGGCAAGCUAAUCUCUGAAAGCCAAUCUCAGUUCGGAUUGUAGGCUGCAACUCGCCUACAUGAAGUCGGAAUCGCUAGUAAUCGCGGAUCAGCACGCCGCGGUGAAUACGUUCCCGGGCCUUGUACACACCGCCCGUCACACCACGAGAGUUUGUAACACNCA
rnacentral:rRNA from 1 species